GCCUGGGUGGCUCAGUCGGUUAAGCAUCUGACUUCGGCUCAGGUCACGAUCUCACAGUCUGUGAGUUCGAGCCCCGCGUCGGGCU
rnacentral:tRNA from 1 species